GAGUAGAAAAAAUAAGCUUCUAACUUAAAUAUAAAGCGUUAAAACGUUUAUACUCUU
rnacentral:tRNA from 1 species